rnacentral:rRNA from 1 species
UUGACGGGGCCCGCACAAGCGGUGGAGCAUGUGGUUAAUUCGACGCAACGCGAAGAACCUUACCAGGGCUUGACAUCCCCUGACCGCGUAUGAAAGUACGUUUUCACCCUCGGGUGACAGGGAGACAGGUGGUGCAUGGUUGUCGUCAGCUCGUGUCGUGAGAUGUUGGGUUAAGUCCCGCAACGAGCGCAACCCCUACGUUUAGUUGCUAACAGGUGAAGCUGAGCACUCUAGACGAACUGCCGUUGACAAAACGGAGGAAGGUGGGAUGACGUCAAAUCAUCAUGCCCCUUAUGUUCUGGGCUACACACGUGCUACAAUGGCCGGUACAGACGGAGGCGAAGCCGCGAGGCGGAGCAAAUCCGAAAAAGCCGGUCUCAGUUCGGAUUGCAGGCUGCAAUUCGCCUGCAUGAAGUCGGAAUCGCUAGUAAUCGCAGGUCAGCAUACUGCGGUGAAUACGUUCCCGGGCCUU